GGCCCUGCUCAGUGAGUUUACAUGUUAGAGAGAGUGGGGUAUAGUGACACAGUAACAGAGGGAUUGAGGGCCUGCUCAGUGAGCUUACAUGUUAGAGGGAGUGGGGUAUAGUGACAGUAACAGAGGGAUUGAGGCCCUGCUCAGUGAGCUUACAUGUUAGAGGGAGUGGGGUAUAGUGACACAGUAACAGAGGGAUUGAGGGCCCUGCUCAGUGAGUUUACAUGUUAGAGGGAGUGGGGUAUAGUGACAGUAACAGAGGGAUUGAGGGCCCUGCUCAGUGAGUUUACAUGUUAGAGGGAGUGGGGUAUAGUGACAGUAACAGAGGGAUUGAGGGCCAUGCUCAGUGAGUUUACAUGUUAGAGGGAGUGGGGUAUAGUGACACAGUAACAG